UAAUUUAGCUUCGUUUAAUAUUAUUAAUAAUAUUAAUAUUUAAUUGUUCAUUGUGUAUAUUUCUAACGUUCAUGAAAUUGAACCAGUACAGUAGCGCGAGAGAGGCUUCUUUAAAAUAGACUUGCUAUAAUCCACUUGAGUUACAACCGUUCUUCGCACGCGCCAAUUUGUAGUUUGCUUCGCCUAGUGUCGCUACCGAUGGGAGUGUAAUUUGGCUACCGAAAAAGCCUACCGACCUUAUCAAGAGUUCACGAACUCUUGCACCCUUCGGUGAAGAGUCUGUUUCACUCUGAUGAGUGGCAAGCGACAGGCUGGUCCAAUUGAAGCCACCCGUAGAAAUGAGAUGCUGUUAUGCAGCUGAGGAAACUCGGGACUGUUAAUGCGAAUUCGAGAAUGUCGCUAUUGUCCACUUCGUGGAAAAUACGUCAGAUCUGCUAACGAAGAUCUUCAAUCCGCGGUUAAUCUGAGGAUUUUCAAAGCCCAAUAAACCACAUUGAACUAAUCAGUGGAAGAGGCAAGAGUGGUUCGUCGUUUGUUCGCGCCGUGAUGUGUUCAGCGUGAAUAGCAAUUGAUAGUGCAACCCAAUUAGCUUGGCGAUUUUUGCGUGCACUCCGAAGAAGAUAUUAAGGUUCAUGGCAGCCGUCGAACGUCCAAAAGCAUCACAUCUCCUCGUUGGUAACCACUCUUUACCACACAGUUCGUCUCAAGGUUGGUCCCGGUGGUACACGUGGCCGGAAGAAGGCAGCAUCCGUCAAACUGCGCCUUGGCAGGACCAUUCGACUACCGAAACGCUGUACCAGCACACCCAGCACAUUUUCCGGUGACGACCGGAAGAUUGUGCGGCAGUACCCCGCCGGCAGUCCACGAAUGGGUGGUGGAGACUAUCGUCGUCCGUUAAGCGCGAUCUGGAGUGAUCGCCCGUCGCAUCAUCAGCAGCAGCAGUAGAAGGAAUCACCGUCUCCCGCCCAACAUCGCCACGAAAACCCUAGGUCAUGAGUAGAGUGUUUUAUUUUUUAUGAACGUGUCCACUGGAAAACAAAGAAGAAAAGAAUGACCGGAACAGUGAGAAUGAAGAAACAGUGAAAAUUCACCUUUUCAUUGGAAACGCUUAGAAAAGAUAUGUCCUCAAGCAGAAAUCGAACCUGCGAUCUCCCAGUCUCUAGUUGGGUGCGUUAGCCACUCCGCCAUCGAGGAACUGUGAUGAUGCCAUCACAUGUUCCCAACAGCUUUUGUGAUCACCGCUGCAGCCUCCAAUACCUCCUAAUUGACCCAUCGACCCCCUCCUCCUAAUUGACCCAUCGACCCCCAAUGUCUGCUACAAGUAGAUCGUCUCCUCUCACCGAUCGGGCCAAAUCUCUCUCGUUAUCUAUUUUUAGGUCCAGUGGACUGCGCUCAAGGCUUGAGAUAUUUAUUAUCACUGUUUGCCCCAUUUCCUAACUCAGUCGCCACCGGUCAGUCGUCGAUGAAAUUUAAAUUCUCAAUUACUGUAUGCACAAUCGUUGUUUUGAGCUGUAAUGAAGGGGGUCGUUCAAUGCUUGUUCCAAUAAUUGGAAAUGGCUAGUUUACCAAUAGACAGUGUCUCCACAAACAGUAUUAUUUCAAAAGCAGUAAUAAAUGCUGCAUUCUCCGAAGAAACACUAAAUAUUUGUCACAUCAAUGUACAAAGUCUUUGUGCACGUAGUUUCACUAAGUUCGAUGAGUUAAAAAUGACAUUUGCGAAUAGUAAAGCCGACAUUAUAUGUAUGACAGAAACAUGGAUGAAUAGCACGAUUACAAAUUCUAUGAUCGCCAUCAGGAAUGUAAUGCACC